UUAAUAUGUAAGAAAACAUCAUUUAACCUCUCUGUUCCUCUUCCUGACCGCCGUGACCGUUCAUCCUCCUCCCAGCCAGGCCACCAAUGCGCAGCGGCGGCUUAAUACUCAUCAAAACGCACAAAUCCCACAUUCAAAGAGUGGAAGAUGCUCAAUGGAACUCAUACGCCCGCUGCCGUCGCCUCUAUGUUAAAAAGCAGGCAAUCUGCCAUCUGCCAUCCGCAUCCGCAUCAAUCAAUCAAUCAUGGUCAUGGCAGCUUGCUCGCGCCAGCACCACGGCAAGCGACCUCCACGCUGGUUGAGCUCCCGCUGGAAAACCGCUCGAUUCAAUUGGAUUCUGCCUGCUCCUAACUUGGGCCUUCCUGAAUUCUUUGGAUUUCAUUGGCUUCCCAAUUUGCUCUCUGAAGAUUUCUUUGGGUUCUUAUAGGCCAUCGCCUAACCUUGAGAUCUGACAAGGAGUGCAAUAUGUGGAACCAAAUCCUCUGUCGUGGUUAUUAUAGCACAACAUGUGCAGUUGCAAAAUCGCAGUCCUGCUUAAGUUUGGGUGGCUCUCAUCUUCUCUUUUUGUUCUCCGUUACCUGGAUCAUGCAUCAGCAUGUCUUCCCAUCGGCAUCCGAUUGAGAUCCUGCGAAGAGAGCACAAGCAGUUUAACGUUUCGGCGCUGGGAUUUUUUAUGGCCUCAUGUUGUACUAGAAACACCGGCAGCUUGAUGCAUCUGCUCGAGCGUUCUUUGUUGCCGGCCGGCUAGCGAACGAGAUGGUUGUGAUUAAUGAUUGUGGUGAUUGUGGCCACCAGCGUGCUCUAAUGCCGGCUAAAAAACAUUAUUCACCUACGAGUAAUCCUGAUUUGGACAAAGGCAACUGAGAUUGCAGUGGAUUUGAGUCUGGAAUGGAGUUGUAGGAAACUUUGGAUAUUCUCUAGAGAGGACUCA